rnacentral:rRNA from 1 species
CCUACGGGAGGCAGCAGUGAGGAAUAUUGGUCAAUGGCCGGAAGGCUGAACCAGCCAUGCCGCGUGAAGGUCAGUGCCCUAUGGGCGUUAAACUUCUUUUGUGCGGGAGCAAUAAUGGUCACGUGUGGCCAGACGAGAGUACCGUACGAAUAAGCCACGGCUAACUACGUGCCAGCAGCCGCGGUAAUACGUAGGUGGCAAGCGUUGUCCGGAUUUACUGGGUGUAAAGGGCGUGUAGCCGGGCUGACAAGUCAGAUGUGAAAUUCCGGGGCUCAACCCCGGACCUGCAUUUGAAACUGUUGGUCUUGAGUAUCGGAGAGGCAGGCGGAAUUCCUAGUGUAGCGGUGAAAGGCGUAGAUAUUAGGAGGAACACCAGUGGCGAAGGCGGCCUGCUGGACGACAACUGACGGUGAGGCGCGAAAGCGUGGGGAGCAAACAGGAUUAGAUACCCGAGUAGUC